rnacentral:miRNA from 1 species
AGCCUGCCCUUUGAAGCAGGGCAUUGCUUUAAAGCCAGGCAUUGACCUCUGACUAGCUGUGGAAGUCCGAGAU